UGCCGACUUGUGGUAUACAGCUUGUUUUGUACUAAAUUUUUACUAAUGGACUUGCUUGACAUGUUUGAUUGAGCAGUGACACUGCAUACAUUAUACAUGCAGUAUAUUUUACUUGUAAAUAUUCUACAUUGAACAGAAUAUUAACCCUUUAAGUGGCAAUUUGCUUUACUUUUUUAUUUUUUCUGUCUAAUGUGGUCAGACAAUUUUUGCUCAUUAAGGAGAGAGUGCUGCCACUUAAUGGGUUAAAGCUUUUCUGUAAAUGUAAAUUUUUUGAACGAUAACUAUGUAAUAGCCGGUACUGCAUGUGCUGGGAAUGAAACCUGCUGCCCUGUGAUUCUGAUCAGCUUUUUAACUGUCAAGGGUCCUCAAGCGCUAAGAGUCCAUCACCCUGAGAGUCAAUCAAGCUCUACUGUAACCAAGAGUUCAUGUAUAUAAUACUAGUGUCAUCCUGGGCAGUUUAUUUAAUACACUACCAAUGACACCACCAUGGUAUAUAUACAGCAACUUGUGGUUACCUCUUGGCAAAAGGGCUCUUUAGGUCAGAGGGCUGCGGUAGAAUUGCAGGGCUGCAGGUUCAAUUCAUGCUGACAGGCUUGUAAUUGUAUUCCACAUGUAUUCAUGAUAUCAUUCUAAUCAAAAUUUCAUUUUAGAACUUCAUUAAAAAAUAUUAUAGGGCGUAAGAGUAUAUCAUUAUAUUAUGCUACAGCAAAUUGUAUUUCCUGCUAUAAUAUACCUUACUUGUGGGGAUAAUAAAUUAUUUUGACUCGA